rnacentral:rRNA from 1 species
AUGGCUGUCCGUACUGUUCAUUUCAACAGAAUAGCACUGCAUCCCUAUGUACUGUUCAUCCCUAUGUAUUUUACUUUCGGAGAAACCUCUCAAAGUUUUACAUGGGGGCCUAAGAUUGUUUCCUGUCCUUUGCUUCUCCAAGACUGCAGCAUGGUGCUCGGCGGCUGCGGCAACGGAGCUGAUGGAGCACGAUCCGACCAGUUCAACGGAGGCAGUAGCACGGGGCAGCGGCAGCAGCAUGGAGGGCGUCCGCUUGACUGGGAAGGUGAUGGAACUGCAAAUAGGAGUGGCAGCGGCAACCAUGAUGCAGGUGCAAGUGGUUCCCAAAGCUCUUGGAAAGUUUAG